GCCAGCCCGCUCAGAAACUCAAGGAAUUGACGGGGCCGCACAAGCGGUGGAGCAUGUGGUUUAAUCGAAGCAACGCGAAGAACCUUACCAGGCCUUGACAUGCAGAGAACUUUCCAGAGAUGGAUUGGUGCCUUCGGGAACUCUGACACAGGUGCUGCAUGGCUGUCGUCAGCUCGUGUCGUGAGAUGUUGGGUUAAGUCCCGUAACGAGCGCAACCCUUGUCCUUAGUUGCCAGCAGUUCGGCUGGGCACUCUAAAGGGACUGCCGGUGUUAAACCGGAGGAAGGUGGGGAUGACGUCAAGUCCUCAUGGCCUUUAUGACCAGGGCUACACACGUACUACAAUGGCCGAUACAAAGGGCAGCGACACUGCGAGGUGAAGCCAAUCCCGUAAAAUCGGUCUCAGUCCGGAUUGGAGUCUGCAACUCGACUCCAUGAAGUUGGAAUCGCUAGUAAUCGUGGAUCAGCAUGCCACGGUGAAUACGUUCCCGGGCCUU
rnacentral:rRNA from 1 species